AGUUGAAGUGGUUUUCUUUUUGGCACAUUUGUUAAGUUUUCCAAUGGUCCUGACUCUGCCACCGAUAUAGGAGCUGGCAAAGGUUUGAAGACAAAGGUCUUUCCGACCUUUCCCAAAUCAUAGAUUGGUUCCCACAGGU
rnacentral:snoRNA from 1 species